GUUUUUAUUAGAUAAAAAACMAAUGCCCUUCGGGGCUCCUUGGNGAUUCAUAAWAACUUAACVAAUCGCAUGGCCUUGCGCCGGCGAUGGUUCAUUCAAWUUUCUGCCCUAUCAAYUUUCGAUGGURGGAUAGKGGCCUACCAUGGKGGCAACGGGWAACGGGVAAUUAGGGUUCUAUUCCGGAGAGGGAGCCUGAGAAACGGCUACCACAUCCAAGGAAGGCAGCAGGCGCGCAAAUUACCCAAUCCCGACMCGGGGAGGUAGKGACAAUACAUACUGAUGUGGAGCUCUUUAGGGUUUCACAAUUGGAAUGAGAACAAUUUAAAUCCCUUAACGAGGAACAAUUGGAGGGCAAGUCUGGUGCCAGCAGCCGCGGWAAUUCCAGCUCCAAUAGCGUAUAUUAAAGUUGUUGCAGUUAAAAAGCUCGUAGUUGAACCUUGGGCCUGGCCGGCCGGUCCGCCUCACCGCGUGCACUGGUUCGGCCGGKCCUUUUCCUUCUGGGRACCCGCAUGCCCUUCGUUGGGUGUGUCGACRACCCAGGACUUUUUACUUUUGAAAAAAAUUARAGUGUUCAAAGCAGGCAUUUGCUCGGAUACWUUAGCAUGGGAAUAAUARAAAUAGGACGUUGCGGUUCCUAUUUUUGGUUGGGUUUCUWRGGACCCSCCSGUAAUGGAUWAAUARGGGAMCG
rnacentral:rRNA from 1 species